rnacentral:tRNA from 1 species
GGGUUAGGAGUGGUUCUAUCCACUCUUAAUCAAUUGGUCGGCGGUUCGAACCCGCCACGACCCACCA